rnacentral:misc_RNA from 1 species
GAAAUGCGAUAAGUAGUGUGAAUUGCAGAAUUCAGUGAAUCAUCGAAUCUUUGAACGCACAUUGCGCCCCUUGGUAUUCCAUGGGGCAUGCCUGUUCGAGCGUCAUCUACACCCUCAAGCUCUGCUUGGUGUUGGGCGUCUUUGUCCCGCCUCCGCGCGCGGACUCGCCCCAAAUUCAUUGGCAGCGGUCCUUGCCUCCUCUCGCGCAGCACAUUGCGCUUCUCGAGGUGUUGCGGCCCGCGUCCAGAAAGCAAUCGUUACCGUCUUUGACCUCGGAACAGGUAGGGAUACCCGCUGAACUUAAGC